rnacentral:rRNA from 1 species
UUAAGCGACUAAGCGUACACGGUGGAUGCCCUGGCAGUCAGAGGCGAUGAAGGACGUGCUAAUCUGCGAAAAGCGUCGGUAAGGUGAUAUGAACCGUUAUAACCGGCGAUGUCCGAAUGGGGAAACCCAGUGCAAUUCGUUGCACUAUCGUUAACUGAAUACAUAGGUUAACGAGGCGAACCGGGGGAACUGAAACAUCUAAGUACCCCGAGGAAAAGAAAUCAACCGAGAUUCCCCCAGUAGCGGCGAGCGAACGGGGAGCAGCCCAGAGUCUGAAUCAGCUUGUGUGUUAGUGGAACGGUCUGGAAAGUCCGACGGUACAGGGUGAUAGUCCCGUACACCAAAAUGCACAGGCUGUGAACUCGAAGAGUAGGGCGGGACACGUGGUAUCCUGUCUGAAUAUGGGGGGACCAUCCUCCAAGGCUAAAUACUCCUGACUGACCGAUAGUGAACCAGUACCGUGAGGGAAAGGCGAAAAGAACCCCGGCGAGGGGAGUGAAAAAGAACCUGAAACCGUGUACGUACAAGCAGUGGGAGCACCUUCGGGUGUGACUGCGUACCUUUUGUAUAAUGGGUCAGCGACUUAUAUUCUGUAGCAAGGUUAACCGUAUAGGGGAGCCGCAGGGAAACCGAGUCUUAACUGGGCGUUAAGUUGCAGGGUAUAGACCCGAAACCCGGUGAUCUAGCCAUGGGCAGGUUGAAGGUUGGGUAACACUAACUGGAGGACCGAACCGACUAAUGUUGAAAAAUUAGCGGAUGACUUGUGGCUGGGGGUGAAAGGCCAAUCAAACCGGGAGAUAGCUGGUUCUCCCCGAAAGCUAUUUAGGUAGCGCCUCGUGAACUCAUCUUCGGGGGUAGAGCACUGUUUCGGCUAGGGGGUCAUCCCGACUUACCAACCCGAUGCAAACUACGAAUACCGAAGAAUGUUAUCACGGGAGACACACGGCGGGUGCUAACGUCCGUCGUGAAGAGGGAAACAACCCAGACCGCCAGCUAAGGUCCCAAAGUCAUGGUUAAGUGGGAAACGAUGUGGGAAGGCACAGACAGCCAGGAUGUUGGCUUAGAAGCAGCCAUCAUUUAAAGAAAGCGUAAUAGCUCACUGGUCGAGUCGGCCUGCGCGGAAGAUGUAACGGGGCUAAACCAUGCACCGAAGCUGCGGCAGCGACACUAUGUGUUGUUGGGUAGGGGAGCGUUCUGUAAGCCUGCGAAGGUGUGCUGUGAGGCAUGCUGGAGGUAUCAGAAGUGCGAAUGCUGACAUAAGUAACGAUAAAGCGGGUGAAAAGCCCGCUCGCCGGAAGACCAAGGGUUCCUGUCCAACGUUAAUCGGGGCAGGGUGAGUCGACCCCUAAGGCGAGGCCGAAAGGCGUAGUCGAUGGGAAACAGGUUAAUAUUCCUGUACUUGGUGUUACUGCGAAGGGGGGACGGAGAAGGCUAUGUUAGCCGGGCGACGGUUGUCCCGGUUUAAGCAUGUAGGCUGGUUAUCCAGGCAAAUCCGGAUAAUCAAGGCUGAGGUGUGAUGACGAGGCACUACGGUGCUGAAGUAACAAAUGCCCUGCUUCCAGGAAAAGCCUCUAAGCAUCAGGUAACAUUAAAUCGUACCCCAAACCGACACAGGUGGUCAGGUAGAGAAUACCAAGGCGCUUGAGAGAACUCGGGUGAAGGAACUAGGCAAAAUGGUGCCGUAACUUCGGGAGAAGGCACGCUGGUGUGUAGGUGAAGCCCCUGCGGGUGGAGCUGAGACCAGUCGAAGAUACCAGCUGGCUGCAACUGUUUAUUAAAAACACAGCACUGUGCAAACACGAAAGUGGACGUAUACGGUGUGACGCCUGCCCGGUGCCGGAAGGUUAAUUGAUGGGGUUAUCCGUAAGGAGAAGCUCUUGAUCGAAGCCCCGGUAAACGGCGGCCGUAACUAUAACGGUCCUAAGGUAGCGAAAUUCCUUGUCGGGUAAGUUCCGACCUGCACGAAUGGCGUAAUGAUGGCCAGGCUGUCUCCACCCGAGACUCAGUGAAAUUGAACUCGCUGUGAAGAUGCAGUGUACCCGCGGCAAGACGGAAAGACCCCGUGAACCUUUACUAUAGCUUGACACUGAACAUUGAGCCUUGAUGUGUAGGAUAGGUGGGAGGCUUUGAAGCGUGGACGCCAGUCUGCGUGGAGCCAACCUUGAAAUACCACCCUUUAAUGUUUGAUGUUCUAACGUUGGCCCCUGACCGGGGUUGCGGACAGUGUCUGGUGGGUAGUUUGACUGGGGCGGUCUCCUCCCAAAGCGUAACGGAGGAGCACGAAGGUUAGCUAAUCCUGGUCGGACAUCAGGAGGUUAGUGCAAUGGCAUAAGCUAGCUUGACUGCGAGCGUGACGGCGCGAGCAGGUGCGAAAGCAGGUCAUAGUGAUCCGGUGGUUCUGAAUGGAAGGGCCAUCGCUCAACGGAUAAAAGGUACUCCGGGGAUAACAGGCUGAUACCGCCCAAGAGUUCAUAUCGACGGCGGUGUUUGGCACCUCGAUGUCGGCUCAUCACAUCCUGGGGCUGAAGUAGGUCCCAAGGGUAUGGCUGUUCGCCAUUUAAAGUGGUACGCGAGCUGGGUUUAGAACGUCGUGAGACAGUUCGGUCCCUAUCUGCCGUGGGCGCUGGAGAAUUGAGGGGGGCUGCUCCUAGUACGAGAGGACCGGAGUGGACGCAUCACUGGUGUUCGGGUUGUCAUGCCAAUGGCACUGCCCGGUAGCUAAAUGCGGAAGAGAUAAGUGCUGAAAGCAUCUAAGCACGAAACUUGCCCCGAGAUGAGUUCUCCCUGAGACUUUAAGUCUCCUGAAGGAACGUUGAAGACGACGACGUUGAUAGGCCGGGUGUGUAAGCGCAGCGAUGCGUUGAGCUAACCGGUACUAAUGAACCGUGAGGCUUAACCUU